UACGUAGGGUGCGAGCGUUAAUCGGAAUUACUGGGCGUAAAGCGUGCGCAGGCGGUUAUGUAAGACAGUUGUGAAAUCCCCGGGCUCAACCUGGGAAUUGCAUCUGUGACUGCAUAGCUAGAGUACGGUAGAGGGGGAUGGAAUUCCGCGUGUAGCAGUGAAAUGCGUAGAUAUGACGGAGGAACACCGAUGGCGAAGGCAAUCCCCUGGACCUGUACUGACGCUCAUGCACGAAAGCGUGGGGAGCAAACAGG
rnacentral:rRNA from 1 species